rnacentral:rRNA from 1 species
GUGGAUUAGAUACCCUAGUAGUCCACGCCGUAAACGAUGAGUGCUAGGUGUUAGGCCCUUUCCGGGGCUUAGUGCCGCAGCUAACGCAUUAAGCACUCCGCCUGGGGAGUACGACCGCAAGGUUGAAACUCAAAGGAAUUGACGGGGGCCCGCACAAGCGGUGGAGCAUGUGGUUUAAUUCGAAGCAACGCGAAGAACCUUACCAGGUCUUGACAUCCCGAUGCUAUUCCUAGAGAUAGGAAGUUUCUUCGGAACAUCGGUGACAGGUGGUGCACGGUCGUCGACAACU